AUUAUAUGCAAAUAUGAUACAAUGAUACAGAGCCCAUAUUCAAACCCACAAAAGAAAGAGAAUUUAACUUGAAAAAACUAACAGAAGGAUUCCUGAAAGACUUGCAAGUGAUACUGUAGCGCAAUUCCGACCUGGAAAAUGUAGUAGGUCGCAUAUGCAGAUAGAAAGAGAAAAGGGCCUUGCUUUUGGCCGGGUGCCUGCCCCGUCCAAGCAGAAUUGUUCAAGAGAAAAAGACGCGAUCCGCUUUCAAUGGAAAACGUGCGGGAAAUGAAAGGUGGACUUUGAUAUAAAAAUAGUGGAGCAAUAGAACAAGAGCUCCGGUUGGUCGAGAUCGAGAGACAGAGAGCGCGUGUGAGACUAUGAAGUUUGUCUAGGACUAAAUUUUUUACAAUUAUUCUUGUCAGUCAGGAUUUAGCCUGGAUUUUAUCUGGCCAUGUAG
rnacentral:lncRNA from 1 species